rnacentral:rRNA from 1 species
CCUACGGGAGGCUGCAGUGAGGAAUAUUGGUCAAUGGACGAGAGUCUGAACCAGCCAAGUAGCGUGAAGGAUGACUGCCCUAUGGGUUGUAAACUUCUUUUAUAUGGGAAUAAAAUGUUCCACGUGUGGGAUUUUGUAUGUACCAUAUGAAUAAGGAUCGGCUAACUCCGUGCCAGCAGCCGCGGUAAUACGGAGGAUCCGAGCGUUAUCCGGAUUUAUUGGGUUUAAAGGGAGCGCAGGUGGAUUGUUAAGUCAGUUGUGAAAGUUUGCGGCUCAACCGUAAAAUUGCAGUUGAAACUGGCAGUCUUGAGUACAGUAGAGGUGGGCGGAAUUCGUGGUGUAGCGGUGAAAUGCUUAGAGAUCACGAAGAACUCCGAUUGCGAAGGCAGUUCACUGGACUGCAACUGACACUGAGGCUCGAAAGUGUGGGUAUCAAACAGGAUUAGAUACCCCUGUAGUC